CGAGGGACGCGCUCGACGGCCGUGGUGAGCCCCGUGCCCGUCCUCUUUCUCCUCCAUCCCCGUUCCCUCAUCUAACCCUAAAUCUCGCCCCAGCCGUCUCUUUCCUCCCCGCGCCGCCUGCCCCGGAUCUGGAGGAAGAGGAGGGAGGCAGGAUCUGGAGGAGGAAGAGGAGAUCCGGGCAUCCCGGCGGUGGCUCGACCGAUGCGAGGUGACGACGAGCUAAUGAGUGCCUCUUCGACUCCUUCCUCCGUCCUCGCCGCUGCCGCCGCUCCGACUCCUCUCUCCGUGCUCGCCGCCGCUGCCGCCUCUAUUUACGUCCUGCGGGAUGACGCCGCAGCUCCGUCUGACCGACCCUCAUGGAGGCGGUGCUGCCGGCCAUCGUUCUCAACCUGAGCUUGCCGCCCCCCCGCUUCUGGUGACUAGCAGCUAAAGGAAGGAGAGGGGAGCUCGACGGACUGCGUCUCAUACAGACCCACACGCCCCCUGACUUCGACAAGACUAGGUGAUCUUAUUUCCUUCCCCUUUUCACAGUGGUCCAGGCAGAGAUGGUACAGUGGAGAAGGUAGAUCAUGUUUGAGCAGACCAACCUUUCUUUCUAUAGAAAUUCCCCCCCAUAUUUAUUGUAUAUCAAUAGGAGAGAAAUGAUGUUGUAGUGAAGUUUUCAGUGUUGUGUAUGUCUGGUCUGUAGGAAUGAUGGUCGAGAAAAUGGUCCAGGCAGAGAUAGACUAACAUAGUUCUAGAUGCUCACACAAUUUCAGUGUUGUGUAUAUGUGGUUGCAGUGCAGUUUUGUUGAUCUACAUGCAUUUUCAGCAUUAUAGUAUUGACCCCUCGUCCGCCCCGGGUGUGGAGGCGAGCUUCCCAGCGACGGUGGCACUGGCUUGAGGCGGGGGAGCGGCUGAUGCAGGGUUGGAUCGAGGCAUGGGAGCGACGGAUGCGGGCGUCGACCUGCGAAGAGGCGAGAGGAGCGGUGGUUGCGGCGUUGAGCUGCGAAGAGGUGCCGCUCGGGCGCGAGACCACAGAGGCGGGAGCGGCUGCUUCGGGCCCCGGCCGUCUCAUUCACCGAUGACGGCCUCCUCGGCCUCAACAUCAAGGGCCGCCUUCUCGCAGAGAAGAACUUCAAGCUGAAGAGGAAGAGCGGCGCCGUCGAGUUCGCCUAGACCAUACUCGACUUCAGAAAGGGCCAAGACGUCAGGAUCAAGGCCGGAUACGAGCUCUAUCGCAAGGUACAAAGCUGAAAUGCUUGAUGAUGCGCCUCGUAUAUUCGAGGCUGUUUUCCAGUGUACCGUUGAGUUCUGCACUAUGCUCUGCUGGAUGUCGCCUAAGCAGAGGAUGCGGCAGUCUCGGCCACAUUUGGUUUUCCUAAGCUAAUGUGGGGUUUCUUUCCCUUAUAUUCUUGCAAGAUGUGGUAAUAUCUUUCAUGCCGUCUCCUGUUCGAUGAAAUGCCUGUGAGCUGAAACAUUUUGCAUUGCAUGUUUCUCUGCCUGUGCAGGUUCUUUGUUGGUUCGUUCGACCAUGCCGUUAACCAACAAGGUUAGGUCUACUCAGAUUGCCUUGGGUUAUUACUUCUUGAUAAUAUAGGCCGUGAACUCCUGCAUUUGUGCGGCUAGGUUGCCUGUCUAUGUGUUUCGGGGUUCACCUUAUUAUGCUUGUCGUGCUUUGUAUGGGUUUUCCUUCAGAUCUUGUUAGAAAAAAAAUGUGUUCUUGAUUACUUAUGCUUGUCUUGGUGGUUUUCUUCCUGGGUGAUUGUGUGCUCAUAUGCCAUUGGUCGAUAUCCAUGUUUACAGAGGAUGCCCACUUUUCUUAGUUUCAUACCGAUUCUUAAUAGUCUUGCAAUGCCUGCUCGGGUUAGUUCUUUAAAUGAGUAGAGAUAAUAAAUGUAUGGGGGUUCCAAUAUCAAAUGUACCACCUGGUUAUUGUUUACCCAACUAAUACGUGCUGCUUGGUGAUAAAGGAAAAACAGCUAGAAAAAUAAUUAAUAAAGUGUACCAUCUGCUUAUUGUUUUAUACACAGUCGCUUGAUUCUUUUGUUCCUCUAUAGGCCUCUGAUCAUGUUUGCAGUGUGCGGCUAGGUUGUUCGUCCGUCUGGGUCGUAGGUUCUUUCCUUCCUGCCAACGGCGGGUACAAGACUCGAGCGGUUAACGGGCAAGCACUAUAUGCACCAUUCAUCUAUGCUAAUAUAGCCUGUUUUGUAAAGCCAAUGUAUGCUAUCACCAAGUGAUCUGAAUAUUUUCUUUCAAGCAUCAAGCUUUCGUGUAAUGGAAUAUAAGUAUUUUAAGUUGAUUCUAAAUCAAUCUCAUACACAUGCUUUGAAUGC